UCAUAACCCUUUGUUGUCCGACUCUGUUGCCUCCGGGGCGACCCUGCCUUCGGGCGGGGGCUCCGGGUGGACACUUCAAACUCUUGCGUAACUUUGCAGUCUGAGUAAACUUAAUUAAUAAAUUAAAACUUUUAACAACGGAUCUCUUGGUUCUGGCAUCGAUGAAGAACGCAGCGAAAUGCGAUAAGUAAUGUGAAUUGCAGAAUUCAGUGAAUCAUCGAAUCUUUGAACGCACAUUGCGCCCCCUGGUAUUCCGGGGGGCAUGCCUGUUCGAGCGUCAUUUCACCACUCAAGCCUCGCUUGGUAUUGGGCAUCGCGGUCCGCCGCGUGCCUCAAAUCGACCGGCUGGGUCUUCUGUCCCCUAAGCGUUGUGGAAACUAUUCGCUAAAGGGUGUUCGGGAGGCUACGCCGUAAAACAACCCCAUUUCUAAGGUUGACCUCGGAUCAGGUAGGGAUACCCGCUGAACUUAAGCAUAUCAAUAAGC
rnacentral:rRNA from 1 species